rnacentral:piRNA from 1 species
UGGCCUGUGUGUCCUAAUGCCAUCAG